AUUCUUACUGGCAGGGGAGAUACCAUGGUCAUGAAGGUGGUCUUCCUAGGGCAAGGCUUAUCCAUUGUACUGCAGAUGUGCUGACUCCUGCAAUUUCCCCAAAGGUGGGAAAUUUCGUUUGCAUGAUUUAUGGUAGUUCGGGGCUGCGUUCAUGCUCUCCCUUG